rnacentral:misc_RNA from 1 species
CAGAGAAGAAUGGACCGUUUGCGAAUUGUUUCGCAUUACAGUUUAUUUCACUCACAACAAUCGAUUUUUGUUCGUAGAUCAUUAUCGUCGCCAGUUACAGAGUAAUAAAAAGCAAAAUAUUAUAACCUAACUGUUCAAUCGAAUUGCUAAAUAAACUGAUUACUAUUCGUUAUUGUGACAAAUCGUCAUCGUGAAAAUGAACAAGGAAAAGUGUGUCUCUGACUUGACUGAAGUGACUUUUACAUAAUACAAUUGUUAUAAGUGCAUUUUGUGCGAGAAAACAUUGUCCUGUAUGAAGUUGCAGCUUCGUUUUGGCGCGUCGUUCGUGAAUCAAGAAGAAUCGAAAAUCCUGUCGUGCGUUGCGGAUGUCCUGGUGGUCGCUAUGACGAAUGCAUCGUGAAAGGAAUUAAUGUAGCCUCGGAAGUGGAAAUCGGAUGAAUCACUGGAAACGAAUUAAAAUUCGUCAUCAACGAAAUGGAGGAUUUAACCACGCGGUUGUUACGCGCUUCCGAGAACAGCACGGAAAAUACGAUUAUCGAUGGCGAAUUGUCGAGGUUCCCAAAGCAGCUGAGGACAUUUGCAGCUGUGGUCGCCAUUAUAAUUAUGGUCGUAGGCCUCACGGGUAAUUUGCUUACUAUCAUUGCAUUGUGCAAAUAUCCCAAAGUUCGGAAUGUUGCCGCAGCUUUUAUUAUAAGUCUCUGCGUAGCCGACUUUGUAUUCUGCGCUCUGGUGCUGCCAUUUGAUUCUAUCAGAUUCGUGGAUGCGAGUUGGACGGAUAUACGAUUUCUUUGUGUUCUUGUACCUUUUUUAAGAUACGGCAAUGUUGGCGUGAGUCUACUGUCCGUUGCGGCCAUAACUAUCAACAGGUAUAUCAUGAUAGCUCAUCAUGGUUUAUAUAGUAAAGUUUAUAAGAAAUAUUGGAUCGCUUUCAUGAUAGUAUUCUGUUGGAUGUUUUCCUAUGGAAUGCAAGUACCCACCCUGUUAGGAAUUUGGGGCAGAUUUGAUUAUGAUUCCAAUCUUGAAACUUGUUCAAUUGUAAGAGAUAGCAAUGGUCAUACAUCAAAAACAUUCCUUUUUGUGAUGGGUUUUGUAAUACCUUGCGUUAUAAUUGUUGGAUGUUAUACCAAAAUAUUCUGGGUUGUGCAUAGAUCUGAGUCAAGGAUGCGAAAGCAUGCAACACCCACAAUAAAAUCACCACAUACACCAAGAAGAGAUACCAGAGAGAUUAAACAAAGACGUAGUGAAUGGAGAAUCACAAAGAUGGUUCUUGCCAUUUUUCUCAGUUUUGUUGCUUGUUAUUUUCCAAUUACCAUUGUUAAGGUUGUAGAUGUAGAAGUUCAAUAUCCAGAGUUUCACGUUUUGGGCUACCUUCUGUUGUACUUCGCCUCCUGCGUGAAUCCAAUAAUUUACGUGAUCAUGAAUAAACAAUAUAGACAGGCCUACGCCGGCGUAAUAAGUUGUUCACGGAUAAGGACCAGCUUAACUCCUUACGGUAGCAGUGCACCAGGACAACAACAUCAACAGAACUACGGCCAAGGUAACUUCGAGCCCCGUCACGUGGUAACGCUCACCAAGCUCUGAUCGAACGCGAGUUAAGCGACCACACUUCGCUCACUUCUUUUCAAUCCUGUCACUAGAUCAAAUUGGAAUAAAUAAAUAUUUAUUACACAAUUAUAUAAGACUGCAAAUUUUAUUUUUAAUAAAUCUAUUCGCUAUCGUCGUUCACAGUCGAUUUCAAUAUUUAGAAAUCAUUUUGUGGCAGUUGUGGAUUUCAGAAGAUUACUCAAAGGACUUCAGCAGAACUAUGGUGUCAACGGUCUCCAUUGCAAUGAACCCAGUAAGAAAUUCUCAGUUUGAUGAUGGACCAUG